UCCUACGGGGGGCAGCAGUCGAGAAUUUUUCACAAUGGGCGAAAGCCUGAUGGAGCGACGCCGCGUGGGGGAUGAAUGGCUUCGGCCCGUAAACCCCUGUCAUUCGCGAUCAACCCUUAUUAUUUAAAAGAUGAUGAGCUGAUAGUAGCGGAAGAGGAAGGGACGGCUAACUCUGUGCCAGCAGCCGCGGUAAUACAGAGGUCCCGAGCGUUGUUCGGAUUCACUGGGCGUAAAGGGUGCGUAGGUGGUGGGGUAAGUCGGAUGUGAAAUCUCCAAGCUCAACUUGGAAAUGGCAUUGGAAACUGCCCUGCUAGAGGAUCGGAGGGGGGACUGGAAUACUUGGUGUAGCAGUGAAAUGCGUAGAUAUCAAGUGGAACACCAGUGGCGAAGGCGAGUCCCUGGACGAUACCUGACACUGAGGCACGAAAGCUAGGGGAGCAAACAGGAUUAGAUACCCCGGUAGU
rnacentral:rRNA from 1 species